GCGGAGGAAAAGAAACCAACAGGGAUUGCCUCAGUAACGGCGAGUGAAGCGGCAAGAGCUCAACUUUGGAAUCGCUCCGGCGAGUUGUAGUCUGGAGGUGGCCACCACGAGGUGUUCUAGCAGCAGGCAAGUCCUUUGGAACAAGGCGCCAGCGAGGGUGACAGCCCCGUACCUGCUUUUGCUAGUGCUUCCUGUGGCCCACCGACGAGUCGAGUUGUUUGGGAAUGCAGCUCUAAGUGGGUGGUAAAUUCCAUCUAAGGCUAAAUAUUGGCGAGAGACCGAUAGCGAACAAGUACAGUGAUGGAAAGAUGAAAAGCACUUUGAAAAGAGAGUGAAACAGUACGUGAAAUUGUUGAAAGGGAAGGGCUUGCACCCAGACACGGUUUCGGCCGGGCCAGCAUCAAGUAGAACGGGGUUAAAAGACCUGGGGAAUGUAGCUACCUCUUGGUAGUGUUAUAGCCCUUGGGUGAUGACCCCUGUUUUGCUUGAGGACAGCGGUCUCUAGGAUGCUGGCGCAAUGGUUGCAAGCCACCCGUCUU
rnacentral:rRNA from 1 species